rnacentral:pre_miRNA from 1 species
GAUUUCAGCGGAAAAAGUCAUCAACAACAAAGUUGUAUAACUCAUCAAGAUCUAUAACUUCUAUUUUGGUCAUUUCUUCAUCCGAUAAAGUAAUGGUAAAAUUUUCACAAAAUUUACAUAUCUCUCUUAUAGUUUAUAAAACUAUAUAAGAGAUAUGUAUAUUCUGUGAACAAUGUUACAAAUCAUUUUAUCGGAUGAAAAAAAUGACCAAAAGAAAAGUUACAGAUCUUGAUGAGUUAUACCACUUUGUUAUUGGUGACUUUUUCAGUUCAAAUC